rnacentral:rRNA from 1 species
UAUGAACGCUGGCGGCGUGCCUAAUACAUGCAAGUCGAGCGAACGGACGAGAAGCUUGCUUCUCUGAUGUUAGCGGCGGACGGGUGAGUAACACGUGGAUAACCUACCUAUAAGACUGGGAUAACUUCGGGAAACCGGAGCUAAUACCGGAUAAUAUUUUGAACCGCAUGGUUCAAAAGUGAAAGACGGUCUUGCUGUCACUUAUAGAUGGAUCCGCGCUGCAUUAGCUAGUUGGUAAGGUAACGGCUUACCAAGGCAACGAUGCGUAGCCGACCUGAGAGGGUGAUCGGCCACACUGGAACUGAGACACGGUCCAGACUCCUACGGGAGGCAGCAGUAGGGAAUCUUCCGCAAUGGGCGAAAGCCUGACGAAGCAACGCCGCGUGAGUGAUGAAGGUCUUCGGAUCGUAAAACUCUGUUAUUAGGGAAGAACAAAUGUGUAAGUAACUAUGCACGUCUUGACGGUACCUAAUCAGAAAGCCACGGCUAACUACGUGCCAGCAGCCGCGGUAAUACGUAGGUGGCAAGCGUUAUCCGGAAUUAUUGGGCGUAAAGCGCGCGUAGGCGGUUUUUUAAGUCUGAUGUGAAAGCCCACGGCUCAACCGUGGAGGGUCAUUGGAAACUGUAAAACUUGAGUGCAGAAGAGGAAAGUGGAAUUCCAUGUGUAGCGGUGAAAUGCGCAGAGAUAUGGAGGAACACCAGUGGCGAAGGCGACUUUCUGGUCUGUAACUGACGCUGAUGUGCGAAAGCGUGGGGAUCAAACAGGAUUAGAUACCCUGGUAGUCCACGCCGUAAACGAUGAGUGCUAAGUGUUAGGGGGUUUCCGCCCCUUAGUGCUGCAGCUAACGCAUUAAGCACUCCGCCUGGGGAGUACGACCGCAAGGUUGAAACUCAAAGGAAUUGACGGGGACCCGCACAAGCGGUGGAGCAUGUGGUUUAAUUCGAAGCAACGCGAAGAACCUUACCAAAUCUUGACAUCCUCUGACCCCUCUAGAGAUAGAGUUUUCCCCUUCGGGGGACAGAGUGACAGGUGGUGCAUGGUUGUCGUCAACUCGUGUCGUGAGAUGUUGGGUUAAGUCCCGCAACGAGCGCAACCCUUAAGCUUAGUUGCCAUCAUUAAGUUGGGCACUCUAAGUUGACUGCCGGUGACAAACCGGAGGAAGGUGGGGAUGACGUCAAAUCAUCAUGCCCCUUAUGAUUUGGGCUACACACGUGCUACAAUGGACAAUACAAAGGGUAGCGAAACCGCGAGGUCAAGCAAAUCCCAUAAAGUUGUUCUCAGUUCGGAUUGUAGUCUGCAACUCGACUAUAUGAAGCUGGAAUCGCUAGUAAUCGUAGAUCAGCAUGCUACGGUGAAUACGUUCCCGGGUCU